rnacentral:tRNA from 1 species
GGGGGUGUAGCCCAGUGGCAGAGCACAUGGUUAACAUGUGUGGAGCCCUAGGUUCUAUCCCUAGCACCCCA